rfam:Ktedonobacter sp. 13_2_20CM_53_11 13_2_20cm_scaffold_1438, whole genome shotgun sequence.
GUCAGCGACUCCACACCUGAAUGGGUGGGGGCUUGUUCCGGCAAGCCCCGAUGCUGAGCAGUCCCCAGGUGUAAGUACCUGGUAGCCCUUCGCGAAGAAUGCAUAGGCACUCCGGGGUGGCCUUCCAGUCCCGGACCCUGCGGCGCGUCGUUAAACAGCGAGAUGGGGUUUCAAUCGCAGUGCGGCUCGCAUCCAAAGGAAACCUUCGCAGAAGUUGGACGAGGAAAACUUUAC